AGUUAGGGUGGCCGAGUAGGCGGCGAGUUGUAGCCUCGUGCACGGGCCAAGAAGCCCCCCUGUCAA
rnacentral:tRNA from 1 species